AACGAACGCUGGCGGCAUGCCUAACACAUGCAAGUCGAACGAGAUCUUCGGGUCUAGUGGCGCACGGGUGCGUAACGCGUGGGAAUCUGCCCUUUGGUUCGGAAUAACAGUUGGAAACGACUGCUAAUACCGGAUGAUGACGAAAGUCCAAAGAUUUAUCGCCAGAGGAUGAGCCCGCGUAGGAUUAGCUAGUUGGUGUGUAAGGGCGCACCAAGGCGACGAUCCUUAGCUGGUCUGAGAGGAUGAUCAGCCACACUGGGACUGAGACACGGCCCAGACUCCUACGGGAGGCAGCAGUGGGGAAUAUUGGACAAUGGGCGAAAGCCUGAUCCAGCAAUGCCGCGUGAGUGAUGAAGGCCUUAGGGUUGUAAAGCUCUUUUACCCGGGAUGAUAAUGACAGUACCGGGAGAAUAAGCUCCGGCUAACUCCGUGCCAGCCGCCGCAGUAACAC
rnacentral:rRNA from 1 species